rnacentral:rRNA from 1 species
UACGUAGGGUGCGAGCGUUGUCCGGAAUUAUUGGGCGUAAAGAGCUCGUAGGCGGUCUGUCGCGUCGAUCGUGAAAACUUGGGGCUUAACCCUGAGCUUGCGGUCGAUACGGGCAUGACUGGAGUUCGGCAGGGGAGACUGGAAUUCCUGGUGUAGCGGUGAAAUGCGCAGAUAUCAGGAGGAACACCGGUGGCCGAAGGCGGGUCUCUGGGCGAAUACUGACGCUGACG